UUGCUGGGUAUAUAUCUAAGAGAAUAUAAAUCAUUCUACCAAAAAGAUAUAUGUACUUAUAUGUUCAUCACAGCACUAUUCACAGUGGCAAAGACAUUGCAUAGAAUCAACCUAGUUGCCCAUUAGUGGUGGAUUGGAUAAAGAAAAUGUGGUACAUAUAUGCUACGGAAUACUACACAGCCCCCCCUAAAUUUGUUAUU